GAUGAACGCUGGCGGCGUGCCUAAUACAUGCAAGUCGAGCGAAAGGACGAGAAGCUUGCUUCUCUGAUGUUAGCGGCUGACGGGUGAGUAACAAAUGGAUAACCUACCUAUAAGACUGGGAUAACUACGGGGGACCGGAGAUGAUACCGGAUGAUAUUUUGAACCGCAUGGUUCAAAAGUGAAAGACGGUCUUGCUGUCACUAAUAGAUGGAUCCGCGCUGCAUUAGCUAGUUGGUAAGGUAACGGCCCACCAAGGCGACGAUGCGUAGCUGAUCUGAGAGGAUGAUCAGCCACACUGGAACUGAGACACGGUCCAGACUCCUACGGGAGGCAGCAGUAGGGAAUAUUGGACAAUGGGCGCAAGCCUGAUCCAGCCAUGCCGCGUGAGUGAUGAAGGCCUUCGGAUUGUAAAGCCCUUUUGUUGGGGAAGAACAGCUGCGGGUUAAUACCCCGCUGUUCUGACGGUACCUAAAGAGUAAGCACCGGCUAACUUCGUG
rnacentral:rRNA from 1 species